AACGAACGCUGGCGGCAGGCUUAACACAUGCAAGUCGAGCGCCCCGCAAGGGGAGCGGCAGACGGGUGAGUAACGCGUGGGAACAUACCCUUUGGUUCGGAAUAACUCAGGGAAACUUGAGCUAAUACCGGAUACGUCCGUAAGGAGAAAGAUUUAUCGCCAAAGGAUUGGCCCGCGUCCGAUUAGCUAGUUGGUGAGGUAACGGCUCACCAAGGCUACGAUCGGUAGCUGGUCUGAGAGGAUGAUCAGCCACAUUGGGACUGAGACACGGCCCAAACUCCUACGGGAGGCAGCAGUGGGGAAUAUUGGACAAUGGGCGCAAGCCUGAUCCAGCCAUGCCGCGUGAGUGAUGAAGGCCUUAGGGUUGUAAAGCUCUUUUGUCCGGGAAGAUAAUGACUGUACCGGAAGAAUAAGCCCCGGCUAACUUCGUGCCAGCAGCCGCGGUAAUACGAAGGGGGCUAGCGUUGUUCGGAAUCACUGGGCGUAAAGCGCACGUAGGCGGACCGUUAAGUCGGAGGUGAAAGCCUGGGGCUCAACCCCAGAACUGCCUUCGAUACUGGCGGUCUUGAGUAUGGUAGAGGUUGGUGGAACUCCGAGUGUAGAGGUGAAAUUCGUAGAUAUUCGGAAGAACACCAGUGGCGAAGGCGGCCAACUGGACCAUUACUGACG
rnacentral:rRNA from 1 species